rnacentral:lncRNA from 1 species
CAGCUUUAUAUGAAUAAUAACUGCCACCCUGCCAUUGAUUUCUUUCUUCUGUAUAUGGCAAUGAAAUUAAAGCAUCACUAAAAGACAAUGGCUCUGCAGUCUAGAUGUAAAAAUUGAUAUUUUAAUAUGAAAUGUCAGAAAAAUUAUGAGGGUGUUGCAGGUGUUUUCAGACCCAAAAUGGGUGCUGUCAUUCUGCAGCAGUGGAUCACCAUAUAUUGUGCAUUACUUUUAGAUUGAUUUGAGAGAGAUGGGAGAAAGACAAGGUUUGGCUUGGCUUAAGGGUGGAAAACAGACUAGUCUUAGAGCACCUAGUGAGGUGUCAAAAGAAGGUGAAACUUGUGCUAGUGAAGCAAAAUCACUUGCUUCUCAAGCAAAAUCUCUCACUGUUCAAGAAUGACCUGAUAAAAAGUUUGAAGUUUAUUCUGAUCUUUUUGGGAAUUGCAAAAAAUUCUUAGCUGCCCUUUCUCCCCCUACUUAUAUUCCACAAUUCACCAAAUCAAUCAUCAUCAUGCCUUGCCUCUUGUUGUGAAGGGAGAACCAAGAUUCACAACAUCACCAUCAUCAUCACAUUCAUCAUUUGCUGUUUUGAAAAUAGAAAAAUGAAAGUAGCAUGUUGUUUUCUGCUAGCUCUACAAAUAAUGAGUUGGGAAUUUGCAGUUGUGGCAAGAAGAUCUUUUCUUCCUACUGAUACCAUGUCCCAUCCAGGUUAGUUAAACUACACACACCCUUUUGAUGUUUGACUUCUUAACAUUUAAGUGCUAAUUAUAAUUAGCAAUUAUAUCUUCAUAAAAUUCAUACCUGCUUCAAAUUUUCUGUCAGUGUCCAUUUUCUUUCCAUAUAUUUUCAGACAGAUAUAAAAUAGCUUGAUCAUAUAUAUGUCUUCCCCUUUCAGCCUUUUCAAAUGUGAACAAUGCUCUUUGAUAACUAACUAUUUCAUUCUUUUUGUACCAUGUUGUUGUCUCUGCUCCAUCAGGC